GUCCACGCCGUAAACGGUGCGCACUAGGUGUCGGGGGUAUUCACCCCUCCGGUGCCGCAGCUAACGUACUAAGUGCGCCGCCUGGGAAGUACGGCCGCAAGGCUAAAACUCAAAGGAAUUGACGGGGGCCCGCACAAGCGGUGGAGCAUGUGGUUCAAUUCGAUGCAACGCGAAGAACCUUACCUGGUCUUGACAUCCCGGGAAUCUCCCUGAAAGGGGAGAGUGCCUUCGGGAACCCGGUGACAGGUGCUGCAUGGCUGUCGU
rnacentral:rRNA from 1 species